GAUGAACGCUGGCGGCGUGCCUAAUACAUGCAAGUCGAGCGAACAGACGAGGAGUUUGCUUCUCUUACGUUAGCGGCGGACGGGUGAGUAACACGUGGAUAACCUACCUAUAAGACUGGGAUAACUUCGGGAAACCGGAGCUAAUACCGGAUCAUAUAUUGAACCGCAUGGUUCAUUAGUGAAAGACGGUUUUGCUGUCCCUUAUAGAUGGAUCCGCGCCGCAUUAGCUAGUUGGUAAGGUAACGGCUUACCAAGGCAACGAUGCGUAGCCGACCUGAGAGGGUGAUCAGCCACACUGGAACUGAGACACGGUCCAGACUCCUACGGGAGGCAGCAGUGGGGAAUCUUCCACAAUGGGCGAAAGCCUGACGGAGCAACGCCGCGUGAGUGAUGAAGGUCUUCGGAUCGUAAAACUCUGUUAGUAGGGAAGAACAAAUGUGUAAGUAACUAUGCACGUCUUGACGGUACCUAAACAAAAAGCCACGGCUAACUACGUG
rnacentral:rRNA from 1 species